rnacentral:rRNA from 1 species
CGCCUACGGGACGCAGCAGUGAGGAAUAUUGGUCAAUGGGCGGGAGCCUGAACCAGCCAAGUCGCGUGAGGGAAGACGGUCCUACGGAUUGUAAACCUCUUUUGCCGGGGAGCAACGGGGUCCUUGCGAGGGCCCGAUGAGAGUACCCGGAGAAAAAGCAUCGGCUAACUCCGUGCCAGCAGCCGCGGUAAUACGGAGGAUGCGAGCGUUAUCCGGAUUUAUUGGGUUUAAAGGGUGCGCAGGCGGUCUGUUAAGUCAGCGGUCAAAGCCCGGGGCUCAACCCCGGCCCGCCGUUGAAACUGGCA